GAUGAACGCUGGCGGCGUGCCUAAUACAUGCAAGUCGAGCGAACAGAUAAGGAGCUUGCUCCUUUGACGUUAGCGGCGGACGGGUGAGUAACACGUGGGUAACCUACCUAUAAGACUGGGAUAACUUCGGGAAACCGGAGCUAAUACCGGAUAACAUUUGGAACCGCAUGGUUCUAAAGUGAAAGAUGGUUUUGCUAUCACUUAUAGAUGGACCCGCGCCGUAUUAGCUAGUUGGUAAGGUAACGGCUUACCAAGGCAACGAUACGUAGCCGACCUGAGAGGGUGAGUCGCCACACCGGAACUGAGACAAGGGCCCGACCCCUAAGGGGGGCAGGAAUAGGGAAAUUUCCGCAAAGGGGGAAAACCCGAACGAGCAAACCCGGGGGAGUGAAUAAAGGUUUCCGAUCGUAAAAACCUGUUAUUAGGGGAAAAAAAAUUUGUAAAGAAAUAUGGCCGGUUUGACGGUACCUAAUCAAAAAACCCCGGGUAAACACGUG
rnacentral:rRNA from 1 species